rnacentral:rRNA from 1 species
AUAUAAAUUUAAUUAUUAGGGCUUUUUAUUUGAAUUUAAUUAUUUUUAGUAUUUUGAAAAAAUUAUUUUUAUGAUAUAAUAUUAGUAAAUUGAUUGAAAUUUGAAAGAUUUUUGAAAAAUUUUAUUAUUUUAAGAAAGAUUUUUUUUCUGUACCUUGUGUUUCAGGGUUUAUUUAAAAUAAAUUUUAUAUAAAUUUUUCCCGAAUUAUUAAGAGCUAUAAAAUAUAAUAAUUUAAUGUGGAAUAAUUAUUUAAAAUAUUUUUUUAGUAAUGAAAUGUUAUUCGUUUUUUAAGAUAUCUGGUUUUUUAAGAAAAAAAUUUAAUUUUUCUAUUCUUUAUUUUCUACAAUUUUUUGUUUUAAUUUCUUGAGUAGUUAUUAAAUUAGGGGAUAAGCUUUAAUUUAAAUUUUUAUAAAUUUUUUUAUUUAAUUAAUUUGUAGGAUUAGAAAUUUCUUUCAUAGAUUUUGUUAUAAUUUUUUAAUUUUUUAUUUAAUUUUCUUUUAUUUUAAUUUUUUUAUUAAAAUUUUUUGUUUAAUUUUUUUGGAAAGUAUCUUUGAUAGAAUUAGUAUAUUUUUAUGUAUUUUUAAUUUUUAUUUAAGUUAGAAUUAAGGAACUCGGCAAAUGGAUUUCCGCCUGUUUAAUAAAAACAUGUCUUUUUGAUAAUAAUUUAAAGUCUAAUCUGCUCAAUGAUAAAUAAAAUUAAAUAGCCGCGAUAAUUUGAUCGUGCGAAGGUAGCAUAAUCAUUAGUUUUUUAAUUGAAAUCUGGAAUGAAGGAUUGGACGAGAAAUUUACUGUCUCAUUUUUAUAAAUUUAUAAUUUUAUUUUUAAGUAAGAAAGCUUAAAUCUUUUUAAAAGACGAGAAGACCCUAUAGAGUUUAAUAUAUAUAAAUUUUUAAUUUUAGAUUAAGUUUCUUUCUUUAUAAAAUUUUAAUUAUAUUUAGUUGGGGUGACUUUAAGAAUUAAUAAACUCUUUUUUUUUAUUGCAUUAAUUUAUGGAUUUUUGAAUUAUUAAUUAUAUUUUCAAGAAAAAUUACCUUAGGGAUAACAGCGUUAUUUUUUUUAGAGUUCUUAUCGAAAAAGAAGAUUGCGACCUCGAUGUUGGAUUAAAGUUAAAUUUUGGUGUAGAAGCUAGAAAUUUUAGUCUGUUCGACUAUUAAAACUUUACAUGAUCUGAGUUUAGACCGGCGUGAGCCAGGUUGGUUUCUAUCUUUAAUUAAUUAUAAUUUUUUAGUACGAAAGGACCAAAAAUUUUUAAAAUUUUAAUUUGUGUUUUUAAUAAAUAUG